CGGGGGCCGCGGCCGGAGCACAGCGCUGCGCGACGGAGGGAGGGAGGGCGCGGAGUAAGGAGGCGGCGAGAUAGCGACCCGCAGGCACGACUCCGGAGCGCCGGCAGCGAGCGGGAGGAGCCGCUUCGGACGGAGGAAGGGAGCCGCACGCAGCGGAGCGGAGCGCGGCGCGGAUCACCUCACCCGGCCACCAGCCCCGUGCCUGCCGGCAGGAGAGAGGGGCUGCCCCUCCGCCCGCCCGCACCCCCGCUGCCCCCGCCCGUGGCGGAUGCAGCGCGCAGCCCCCGGAGCGCCGCAAUCCAGGAGGAGACGCCGGUGUUAGAUCUUCUCCGGUUGCGGAGUACUGUAAACUCAAAACCUGGAAGUCUCCAGGUAACAAAUAACAAUUCUUGCUGUAUGACUUCUUGAUUACUCCUUGCCUUUCCUCCAGUGAUAUUAGGCAGAUCAUCACUGUGGCCUGAAAUUAUCGUGUAAAACUGAAUUCCAUUUUCCUUCUUUUUUUCUUGGUUAAUACUACAUUUAUGUUAUGUUUCUUUGCUCUCCGAUUUCUCUCACUUCAGAUACUUUAGCAUUUAGGACAGAGGUGUCUUUUAGUUGCUGAUUCAUUGAGGCCAAGAGGUUAAUUCCACUGCUGCAGAGGUACACUCCUAAGGGGAACAUCCUGAGGGAUGUACACCAUUAAGGGACUGCAGAAGCACUGAUAGUGGAACGGGCUUGUCUUAAGAGCCUACUGCACUUACUGUCUUUACUGUAUACAGAGUGAGUGAGAUUAUGGCGUGUCCAUUUUUUCUUAUACUCUCUCUAUUUUACUGUGUUUUUUUUUCUUUUUCUCAUUAUUUAUUAAACUGCAGGGUCAAAAUAUUUUGUCCCUUGAGUACGUGAGUGCUGGGGAAAAAACCACCUGUGAUUCUGCCAUUGUGCCUCUGAGCCUUUUCAGAGGGUUGUGGCAAGUUGAUGCUUGCUCCUCGGUUUUAUAUGCCAUGCAGACCUAAAAGGUUCUCCAGUAUGGGGAAAAAAUAUUAGGUUUUCUUUGUUGUUGUUGUUUUGUUUUUCAGUGAGCUAUCCAAAAGGAUGAAAAGUGAAAAUGUGUGUAUUGGUAAAGCCAAUAUGUGACAAAUAAAAUUAAGUUGUUCGUGUUAGUGAAUGAGAUA
rnacentral:lncRNA from 1 species